AGACCAAGGGAAGCCCAUAUCAGCAUGGAUCAAUAGAUUUCCUUCCUCCAAUAGUUUACAGUUCUUUCAAUACUAUAUUCUCGUAUUUGUCCCUGCAGUUGCGUGGCAUAUUUUGGCCAAGAAAAAGAAAAAAUCACCUCUAAAAAGAGGAAAAGGUUAGAGGGGUGACAAAAUAAAAAGUUCUUCUUAUCUUGUGUUGCUUGGUUUGAAAGAUACAUCCUAGAAAAAGGGUUACGGAAUCCUAUCCUAUUCCCUGGUUUCACUACCAAGGCACCAUAAAUGCAGACUCUAGUUGUGCUCGGUUGUUCACACCGUCAAAUUAAUGGCAUGUUGGUGGGUAAAUUGUCUGCUUGCAGCAAGCAAAGGAGAAAGGGGUUCUCUCCUCGAUUUAUGACCAAAAAAGUUUGUUAUGUAACAGCAAGAUCGCGAUAUGGCAAGGCCUUGUUCAAUGCUUCAAAGCUCGUCGAGAGGUAAUUGGUUUCCAUUUUAUUUUAAAUUUGGAACUCUCAAUCAUUUUAUAUUAUAUAAUAUUUUUCAAUAAAAAAUUAUCAUGGGUGAGAGCAAUGGUUACCUUGAUCUCAAUUUGUACCGACUUUUUUGACUUUGAUCUGUUUUUUUUUUUUUUUAAUAAAUUGGAGAGAUCAUACAUAUCUAGUAUGAAUACAUCCCAUAAGAUGGAAAAACAAAAAAGAAUUUAAAGAAGGCAUGCUUUCAUAGCUGCACUAAAAAGUGCAACCCGAAUAUUAAGCAACAAAAAAGGCAACCCAGUCCGCUGCUACGUUCGCUUUUUUGUAGACAUGAGAAGGUUGAAAAGUACUAUAAUCUCUAGGAGAAUAACCUUUGUCUGUCUAGCCUAGGAGUUGCGCCAAAGAUCAUUGAAUGAGUUGUAAUCAUGGUCUAGGCAACGAUUGUGCUAGUACAGUAGUAAACACACGAUUAAUAUGAUUAUUGCCGCAUGUCAAUCAUGGAAGGCCGUUACCAUUCUGUUAAUGCACAAUUAGCUGUUAUCGUGUGGUUAUGGCGUUUUCCAACAAAUCAGAUAACAUACACUGAUUUCAUCAGGGUGAUUUGGGCCAUUUUUAAGCUCCCCCUUUUUCUAGAGCAUCCUCCACACUCAAUCUCUGUCGAUCCCAUUGUUGUUCUAGAUUUUCACUAACUUAAGUAUCGAAGAGUCCUCCGCCGGAAAUCUUCCAGCAAGUGGACUUUUUUGUACGUUGAUCUCAUGCCUUCCAAAGCAGAGGUGUGGAGCUCACGGCAUCUUGAAGCCAUUCUCCUUCCUCUUCGGUUUCAACUGAUCUUGGUGUACCUUAGUCCCGAUUAGCCUCAGUACGUCUUGUGACUGACCUCAACCCAGAUCCUAGCAGUAACAAUAGCUAUAAUUGGUUAAGAUUUGCUUGUUAUUUGUUAAAAAAAAAAGGCCUUGAUAUUAUAAGAUUUAUUAUUGUUUCUUAUGAAGAAUUUGAUAAAGAAGCUUGAGUGGGCACACUAUACUUGCUAAUAAGCAUGAAGAAGAACAAGAAUCAACAAAGCUCUCUCUAAAGAGUCAUGCAGGUUCUUUGUUUCUUUUUUUUCCCUUUCACCUAAUAAGGAGAGUAUCACAAACAUUUCAAUAAUUAUCUAUAUCCAAGACUUCAGAAUCACCUCUUGAAAUCUCUUAUUGAGAUUUUUUUUUGAACUUUUUUUUUUGAGAUAACGACCUCUUGAUGCCCGAACCAUAAACGCCAUUGUGCUCAACCCAGCUUGUAGUUAGCUUUGAUGUGGAAGCCACACAUCUAUCAUGCCCACCAAUCAAAGGAAUAAUAAUAGCAAUUACUAAACAACAAUAUUAGUGAUGAUAAGAUUAAAGCUCUUUUGUAAUCAAAACUCUCUUCUGGCAUCGGAAUCGGCUGAAGAAUUUAUGAUUAUCAUCAAGCUUUCCAUGGUUCUUGGCACAACAAGCAAGCUAAGAAGGAUGCAUGCAUGAUAGUGACUCCCAAAUAGAUAUGGGAGGAUAAGCAGGUGGCGCUUGUGGCUACCAUGUUUCUGUGAUAAGUCUUGGAACAACUAAACAAAGAAUAGAAUAAUAGAACUGGAUGUGGGAAUCCUGUGGACUCUUGGCAAAAUGUUGUUAUGUUGGGGGUGGAGGCGGCUCAGUUGAUAUGACCAAUCCUAAGCCACAAGCCGUUUGUAGAAUAUUCAUGGUAAUAUGGUAUUUUAUUUGGAAGCAGUACAGGCGUGUGAACCCAAGAAGCCCAAGAAAUUCUUCAACUAGACUCAUGGUCACCAUGCAUGCCAAGAUAGUCAUAUAUGAAGUCUUCUUCCAAGUUCAUAUUUUUCAACACAAAGGAAUAAAAAGAAGUGCAUGAUUUCAAACAUCAUUAACAAAUUGCAAGCAUCAAUUAGAUACGGUUCAUUGUUCCUGUGAUGGAUGGAUGCUACCUUUACUUUUGUAUUCAAAGCUAGGUUCAAUCCCAUCCAUAUUUAAAUAAAAAUUCAAAAUAGAAAAAUGCAAAAUUAUCCAUUAUAGGGCUGCUCAAAUCACAGGUCAUAUAUGAAAAUUGCUCAUUGGAUGAGCGAUAUCUAAGUGAUCGACACUACUUGCUGCCUAUAUAUGUAUCAAACCAAUCCUCGACCGCAGACAUCCGAGUAGUAAAUCGAGCGGUUAAUGAGCGAAUGAUUGGUUGCAAAUCUCUUCAUAAUAUUAGUGAAUAUAGUUUUUUCUCUGUAUUGUUAUCUCUUAGCAGUUUAAGGGAGGAGAAAGGAAAAUCACAUAUCUAGAUUGUGGGCUAGUCUAAUAUUGAGUGACAGAGGAUGACACUUGGUAGUAGUUACUUACCUAUGUAUAUAUAUAACGUUUUAAGGGACUAUCAGCCACUACUAGUCCACUCUCACCUUGCCAUGCUGUGGGCUUUGUGGAAGAACAGAGUCUCCAUCUGUCUUAAUAAAUAGAAUCUUCCACCCCACCUAACCGAGACAACAACAACAGAGACAUCUAAAUAACAAGCAAAAGAAGCUAAAACACGAAUUAAUUUUCUUUUUUAUUUUAGAAAGGUUUGGAAAAGCCCUACCCAAAUUUAUUAAAAAAGAAUAGAAAACAUAAUAACCAUAGUAAAAUUGUCAUUAUUCGAUGAAAUUGUAACAGCCAACUCAAUAUUUCUAUCUUUUGUAUCAGCCAAGGCAUUCUCAUACGAAUGAUAAUUAAAAUAAUUCUUAGGACCCAAGAUAUUUCUUAACAUUAGUCUCCAUUAGUGAUUCAUAGUAUACAUGAUGCACAGACAUUUUAGGCAGCUUUUAAAUAGAACACAUAGGGUUUACCAACUUAUGCAAAACCAACAUUAAUAUGAGAAAUGCACAGCAAAAGCAUCUAGACCUAAGAGAAAUCGUUUCCAUAUCAUGUU